AGCUUUGCGCAGUGACAGUAUCGUAGCCAACGUGGUUUAUCUGAGGCGCGAUUAUUGCUAAUUGAAAACCUUUCCCAAAAUUAUGACAAAUGCUUGAUAUCAAAGCAUCUGUGACACAAAUUCAUACCUCAAUAAAAUAA
rfam:Fukomys damarensis contig149572, whole genome shotgun sequence.